GAAAUAGCUGGUUCUCCGCGAAAGAUAUUUAGGUAUCGCCUCGGACGAAUACCUCAGGGGGUAGAGCACUGGAUGGGCUAGGGGGACUUACCGUCUUACCAAACCCAACCAAACUCCGAAUACCUGAGAGUACUAUCCGGGAGUCACACGGCGGGUGCUAACGUCCGUCGUGGAGAGGGAAACAACCCUGACCUACAGCUAAGGCCCCCAAUUCGUGGCUAAGUGGGAAAGGAUGUGGAAAUCCCAAAACAACCAGGAGGUUGGCUUAGAAGCAGCCAUCCUUUAAAGAAAGCGUAACAGCUCACUGGUCUAAAUAAGGGUUUCUGCGCCGAAGAUGUAACGGGGCUCAAGCCACGAGCCGAAGCUUAGGGUGCAUCGCAAGAUGCGCGGUAGCGGAGCGUUCUGUAAGCCUGCGAAGGGCGACCCGUGAGGGCGCCUGGAGGUAUCAGAAGUGCGAAUGCUGGCAUGAGUAACGACAAACACUGUGAAAGACAGUGUCGCCGAAAGUCCAAGGGUUCCUGCGUAAAGUUAAUCUUCGCAGGGUUAGCCGGUCCCUAAGGCGAGGCCGACAGGCGUAGUCGAUGGGAAUGCAGUGAAUAUUCUGCAGCCAGUGGAUGGUGACGAAUUGCGUAUGUUGUCUGACCUUACUGGAUUGGUCGGGCCUCGAAGCAGUUCCAGGAAAUAGCCUCCACAUUAGACCGUACCCGAAACCGACACAGGUGGACUGGUAGAGUAUACCAAGGCGCUUGAGAGAACUAUGUUGAAGGAACUCGGCAAUUUACCUCCGUAACUUCGGGAUAAGGAGGCCCAUUGCUCGCGCAAGCGGGCAGUGGGGGCACAGACCAGGGGGUGGCAACUGUUUAACAAAAACACAGGGCUCUGCGAAAUCGUAAGAUGACGUAUAGGGUCUGACGCCUGCCCGGUGCCGGAAGGUUAAGAGGAGAGGUGCAAGCCUUGAAUCGAAGCCCCGGUAAACGGCGGCCGUAACUAUAACGGUCCUAAGGUAGCGAAAUUCCUUGUCGGGUAAGUUCCGACCUGCACGAAUGGCGUAAUGACUUCCCCGCUGUCUCCAACAUAGACUCAGUGAAAUUGAAUUCCCCGUGAAGAUGCGGGGUUCCUGCGGUCAGACGGAAAGACCCCGUGCACCUUUACUGUAGCUUUGCGCUGGUAUUCGUGACUGUUUGUGUAGAAU
rnacentral:rRNA from 1 species